CAUGCAGUCGAGCGGACAGAUGGGAGCUUGCUCCCUGAUGUNAGCGGCGGACGGGUGAGUAACACGUGGGUAACCUGCCUGUAAGACUGGGAUAACUCCGGGAAACCGGGGCUAAUACCGGAUGCUUGAUUGAACCGCAUGGUUCAAUUAUAAAAGGUGGCUUUUAGCUACCACUUACAGAUGGACCCGCGGCGCAUUAGCUAGUUGGUGAGGUAACGGCUCACCAAGGCNACGAUGCGUAGCCGACCUGAGAGGGUGAUCGGCCACACUGGGACUGAGACACGGCCCAGACUCCUACGGGAGGCAGCAGUAGGKAAUCUUCCGCAAUGGACGAAAGUCUGACGGAGCAACGCCGCGUGAGUGAUGAAGGUUUUCGGAUCGUAAAACUCUGUUGUUUAGGGAAGAACAAGUACCGUUCGAAUAGGGCGGUACCUUGACGGUACCUAACCAGAAAGCCACGGCUAACUACGUGCCAGCAGCCGCGGUAAUACGUAGGUGGCAAGCGUUGUCCGGAAUUAUUGGGCGUAAAGCGCGCGCAGGCGGUUUCUUAAGUCUGAUGUGAAAGCCCCCGGCUCAACCGGGGAGGGUCAUUGGAAACUGGGGAACUUGAGUGCAGAAGAGGAGAGUGGAAUUCCACGUGUAGCGGUGAAAUGCGUAGAGAUGUGGAGGAACACCAGUGGCGAAGGCGACUCUCUGGUCUGUAACUGACGCUGAGGCGCGAAAGCGUGGGGAGCGAACAGGAUUAGAUACCCUGGUAGUCCACGCCGUAAACGAUGAGUGCUAAGUGUUAGAGGGUUUCCGCCCUUUAGUGCUGCAGCAAACGCAUUAAGCACUCCGCCUGGGGAAGUACGGUCGCAAGACUGAAACUCAAAGGAAUUGACGGGGGCCCGCACAAGCGGUGGAGCAUGUGGUUUAAUUCGAAGCAACGCGAAGAACCUUACCAGGUCUUGACAUCCUCUGACAACCCUAGAGAUAGGGCUUCCCCUUCGGGGGCAGAGUGACAGGUGGUGCAUGGUUGUCGUCAGCUCGUGUCGUGAGAUGUUGGGUUAAGUCCCGCAACGAGCGCAACCCUUGAUCUUAGUUGCCAGCAUUCAGUUGGGCACUCUAAGGUGACUGCCGGUGACAAACCGGAGGAAGGUGGGGAUGACGUCAAAUCAUCAUGCCCCUUAUGACCUGGGCUACACACGUGCUACAAUGGGCAGAACAAAGGGCAGCGAAGCCGCGAGGCUAAGCCAAUCCCACAAAUCUGUUCUCAGUUCGGAUCGCAGUCUGCAACUCGACUGCGUGAAGCUGGAAUCGCUAGUAAUCGCGGAUCAGC
rnacentral:rRNA from 1 species